CUCAAGCUCUGCACACAAACAAAGACAAAAAUUAUACAACGGACAAGCCAUAGAAUGCAAGGAAACAACCUGCCAGCAAGCAACACUGUCUAAUAUUUUCCGUCAUACCUGAGCUGACCUUUGGUUACAAUAGGCUCCACCUUUCAAACCUGAUCAUUCUUUAUCAUAGAAGGUCUGCGUAUGGGUGGGAAUGGCAUUGGGUAGAUAAAAUAAAUUUAGCAUUUUAUGCUUUCUGUCAUGUUGGAUGCAGAACAUAUUAUUUCGAAAGUCAUGAGCAUACUAUGUUUGACAGAAAAGAUACAGACAGUCAGGAUGCUAUUUUCCUGUACGGAAACAACACACAUCAUGCUCCAUUUGAUAAAAUCAUUACCAGCAGCCAUGCGAGUCAAGCUGAUGAAUAAUGUAUGGGCUGCCAAGGUACAAUAAUACAUUUCCUCUGGGCUGCUACCUUUCUCUUAGUCACAUUAGCAAGUGGCUGCACUAUCCAGUCCUCACAGCUAAUACCUGUCUUACACAAUUACAUUUUCCAUUAGCAUACAAUGUCUUUAUGCAUGCACACGUUACAUUAGCAUGUGCACACAAUCCUAUUGUGAGUACAGAAAAACAUAGAUAGAAAAAUACAUUGAAUAGAUAUAGUGAAUAAUACAACUACUCUUAUUCGCAGCUACAAAGCAUGUGUGUGAUCUACCAAGUGGGACUAACCAGACAUCAGGUGUUAGACCUCAGCCCUCCAUUAUGAAAAACAAGAAACUAGGCCAUUUAUCCGGUAUAACAAAUACAUCACAAGGUCUGGUGUGAUGUGUAAUUAAGGUAAUUGAUAAAGUGUAGCUUUUGCAUCUCUGUGCACUCUCAAGUAGACACAAAAAGGAUUUACCUAUUUUUCAAAGUUUGAAAUUUCCCAGCUAACGCAGCUGGUUGUAAAUACCUCAUUUCCUUGGUAAUGUAAUUAACUGACUAAAGAGUAGACAGUUUACACAGUUACACUAAUCAUUAUUGAUUAAUCAGUCACGUAUUGACAACAUGAUUAGCCAGUUAGACAACCCAGUGACAUUACAAUCCAUCAUUCAUAUAGCACAGCGUAAAAUUUAGAAAUUGUUCCCUGAAGACCCAUUAAAAUAAUGAGUAUUAUACAACUAUUCCUACAAAGAUGUGCUGUAUAUAAGCAACAUGCAUGCUGGUGCCAUCCAGCUUACUGGGGUAAAUGCAUGUUGUAACGCUCUUCAGUCAUAAUCCCUCUGAGUGUAAAGAGGGAGCAGCAAUAAUUAGGGUGUAGUGUUCAGUGAUGAUAAUCUGGGCUGCCUGAACAUUAAGGGAGGGGUGGGAACACACACAUGUGUCUCUUUUGUUUUCAUGAGAGCCUACCUCAGCUCUCUUAUUCUCCAAAUCCCAUUUUUAAAGACAGAGAACAAUGGAAGGCAGCCGAAGAAAUAAAACGUGUUCGAUUGUGUGAGAGGGGAACAGCGUAGGAAGAGGAAGAGAGGGAGACGGACAAGGAUGUAGCGGCAAGCAGACAGCUGCACACGCCAUGUAACCUCCUGACCCUGUCACAAACUCAUGAGCACCGACUAGAUGACCUAUUUCACUGUUCGCAGAGCUGCAAACACACACACGUACACCCACGCCUACACGCACACACACACGCAAUUCUACUUAUAAAGCCUCAUUUCUUUAAGGGCGCAGUCAUCAACAUAAUAAGAUUUUACCGUUUAUCACAAAUGUAAAUGGAUUUUGACACACAUGCUGCAAAAAAACUGUUACCCUUAAGGUCUGAUCCCACAUGUGAUAUUAGCAAAAACAGAAUUGAUUGUUUAAUUUGUUUUUUACUUUUGUAUUUCGGUAAAUAUAUCAAACCAAGAGGAGGAACAUGAAAUCCAGUCAGGAUUUUAUGUUCUCCAUCUCUUUUCCUUUAAACUGCACAAGUUUUUCAUCUUCAGAAAACAUGCAGACUCAAAAUUUCCUUGCAGAAAAUUACAGCCACACUCUCCACAAGGACAUGGCAAAAAUAAACAGCAGUCCACGAGAGGAUAAUAGAAGGUUGUUGUGGUCUUAGAUGCAAGGAUUUUAUUCAACUGGCCAGUGAAAGAUACCAGAUUCUUUUUCAAAGUUCAGCUUUUUGCAGCUAUUCUGUAAAUUGACAAGUUUGGGCAUCAGCACAGCUUAGAAAAGAUUAGGAUUUCUUAUAUAUACUGUGUUUCUCUUAAAUCAAAAGAGCUUACUUCUGGCAGAGAACUCUACAGUUGUGGGUAUGUUUAACAUCAUUAGAAUCAAAGCACACAGUCGGUGAAUAAGUGUGGCUACUGGAGCCGCCGGCAUGUCUAUGGGUUCUGAACAGUAGAAAUUUGAGGUUCAUUGAUUUCACUUUCUUCCCUAGUCUUUUAACACAAAACAUAGACAGAGAAAUUCCACUCCUAAUUUAGAAAGUCUUCAUGUAUGUGAAUGUUUCUGGGUCAAGCAGCAGUGACAGAACUGGAUCCUUUAUUUGUCUGCUUGAUUUUCCCGUUUCAUCUGUGACCCACAGCCAUCUCAAAUCUACAUCAUCUAGUCCCAUUAGGACAGAGCUUCAGGCGGUUGGCGUUAGAGACAGUAAAACUAAGCGCUAAAGUUAGUAUUGGUCAAAAUCUAACAAAGAAAUAUUCAAAAUUCUAUUAUUUGUGUCAUAUUGUGUGGGGUUGUCUUCGUUGAGCUGUUUGUGCCUUCCAAAAGUUUUAAUUUCAUCAUGUAUUUUCUGCCCCCUGUUUUUCAGGUCUUUGUACUAAUAUUUGGAUUUAGGGCUGGACCCUGAAUGGGUCAAUCUGCGCAACUGUAUGCUUUAAUAUAUCAUUUUUAUUCUAACUUUGGAAGUUUGUUUCAGAGUAGUUAACUUCUUCUGGAAGGUGAACUUCUUCCAUUAUUGUCUUGUAUUUAUCUCCAUCCCUUUUCUUUUAAACUCUGAGUGACCCUGUUACUGCUGAAGAAAAGCAUCCCAAAAGCAUAAUACUGCCACCACCAUGUUUCCCUAUGGGAGUGAUAUGUUCAAGGUGAUGUUAUGUCUUUUUCUGUGAGACUGCAUUUUUCACUUAGGCCAAAUAGCUCAAACACAGUCUCAGAUUAAGGAAAUUGGUUGCACUGGAUCUUAUUUAGACGUACCAGAACUCUGCACUAACCCAAAUUCACACUUUUUAGAAUUUUAAGGCAUGGAUCCUUUUACAUCUGUUUCACAAAUAAUACACUCCUUUAUGUUGAUAUAUCACAUACCAAAUCCCCUAAAAAUACACAGAUAUUUGUGGUUGUUAUGUGACAAGAUGUAAAAAAGUUCAAGGGAUAGGAAUAUGUCCUCAAGGCACUGCAUAAGGAGCUGUUAGUUUCUCCCAAAAAGCCCACGAGCAGCAGAGUAUUGACAUCGAACUGCAACAUUUAAGCUUUUCACACAUCCUCCACUGCAUGUGCUGAUUUCAGCCACUUCAGCUGAAAGUUGACAGCCGCAGCGAGAAGGGAGGGAAGGAGGAGAGAAAAGGGAGACGAGGUUAAGAGGUUGAGUGUGGGAAAAGGAGGGGAAGAGAGGAGAGAAGGGAUUAAAGCAUCAGAAGGCAUGGCAUUCUGCUUAAAGAUGACGGGCUGACGGCAGCUCCCACAGGAAUGAGUGGAGAAGUAAUCCCACCAAAUGGAAGAGUUUAACUAUUACCACCCAGUGAGAGAGAUACAUAGAAACAAAAUCUCCACAAACACACACACACACACAAAAGACUGAAAUUAGGUUUUUGUUUGAAGUCGGUGACAUCCUACAGAUUUUCACAAAAAAUUGGCUCAAAAAGAAAUGUACUCUAAAAUAUUUUUAAAAACACUACAAAUCUGCAUAAUGUUUUGCGAUGAAGCUUUCUGAGUGCACCAGCAAAGCCAAUCACCACUAUGACUUACACAGAAAAAAAAAUUACUAUUUUGCUUUUUUGAGCUGGACUGGUGUGACUCUGCUAACACAUCAGUACCUUAGUGGCUUUCUGCUGUGCUGGCUGGCAAAGGUCUAACAAUUAAAGACACUACAAGCAGCCAGAAGGAGCCAGACAACAGGAGGCAGAGAAGGAUGAGAUUUAGUCAGAAUAAAAUUUGCUGCCAAGCUAAUGAAUGCAGCCCAUAAAUCAUCCGGCUAUUUGACAUCGAGGAAAAGAAGACAAGACCUGCUAUUCAAUAUUGAUGAUUUUAUGUUGAAAAAAACUGUCUUGAUUAGACAGAAUAACCAAAGUACCCAAACAGAUUUUUUUUAAAUCAGAUGUCAUGUUUAAUUCAUUAUGGGUAACAGAGAUUUAUUAACAGUCUGAUGCAAAAAAUUUAAAAAUGUAGAUGAAUAUUUUUAACCUCUUCUGGUUUUCCUAACGUUUUUACCAAACAGGUAUUUCGUUUUCUCUCUUUUGUAUUUUUAUACAUGAAGUGUUAAAUGCUAUUAGUCUUUAGAAGCAGAUUUAGAAGCAUGUCAGGCUCUUUUUGAGAUUCCAUUUUGGUGUCCUAGCUACACAGGUUUGUUUUAUGAAAUUACAAUUGAUAGCUGCACAAAAAUAUAAAAGUAUUUUAAUGUUUCUCCACAUUAAAAUGUAACAUUUUGAAAUAA